rnacentral:lncRNA from 1 species
GUUAGAAAUUGUCUGCCAGGCUUCUGGAGGCACCUGGGCCGUGUGGGUUCACAGUGGUCAUUCAGGGAAUGGAUGGACAUGCUCCUGCAGUGCUCGGCCAAGCUCAGCCCUUGUUCAGCACACCAGCCCUGUGAGUCACACUGUCCCUGGAGGGACUGAGGAAUGUCCAGGGGUUGGUAGUGGCACAAAGGAUGGAGCCACUGAAACGCGGUGGGUGGACACAGGAAGAGGACGGCCGCACAGCGAGGCCACGCCUGGCCUGGCUCGGAGGAUGCGAGGAGGAUUCUCCAGCAGGCAGGCAUGGUCAGAGGGGCCACUGGGUAGCCAGAUAGAGUCCCUGUGCCGACCCCAUAGUCCACGGGGAGGAGCAGAGAGGCGGGUGAGGCCUGGGGAGAUGACAUCACAUGGCUGGGGCUACUCAGUGGUGAAGGAAGAGACAAAGCGGGACACUGCUCUGGCUACUGGGGGGAGCAGUGGUCCUUCCCACCUCUUGUGCCAGGUACAGCACUGGGGCCUGGGACCAGGACGAGCCUCAGAACACGGCUGGUGAGCACACCCACCUCCACCUGCACCCAUCCCCGCUCCCCACACACACCACACACACACUCAUCACACACACACUCAUCACACACACACCACACACACUCAUCACACACAUGCUCAUCACACACACCACACACACUCAUCACACACAUGCUCAUCACACACUCAUCACACACACACCACACACACUCAUCACACACAUGCUCAUCACACACACCACACACACUCAUCACACACAUGCUCAUCACACACACCACACACACUCAUCACACACGCUCAUCACACACACUCAUCACACACACCACACACUCAUCACACACAUGCUCAUCACAUACCACACACACACUCAUCACACACACACCACACACACUCAUCACACACAUGCUCAUCACACACACCACACACACUCAUCACACACAUGCUCAUCACACACUCAUCACACACACACCACACACACUCAUCACACACAUGCUCAUCACACACACCACACACACUCAUCACACACAUGCUCAUCACAUACCACACACACACUCAUCACACACAC